rnacentral:lncRNA from 10 species
AUCCCUUGUAAGUUGGAUUCCUAGGUAUUUUAUUCUCUUUGAAGCAAUUGUGAAUGGGAGUUCACUCAUGGUUUGGCUCUCUGUUUGUCUGUUAUUGGUGUAUAAGAAUGCUUGUGACUUUUGUACAUUGAUUUUGUAUCCUGAGACUUUGCUGAAGUUGCUUAUCAGCUUAAGGAGAUUUCGGGCUGAGACAAUGGGGUUUUCUAGAUAUACAAUCAUGUCGUCUGCAAACAGGGACAAUUUGACUUCCUCUUUUCCUAAUUGAAUACCCUUUAUUUCCUUCUCCUGCCUAAUUGCUCUGGCCAAAACUUCCAACACUAUGUUGAAUAGGAGUGGUGAGAGAGGGCAUCCCUGUCUUGUGCCAGUUUUCAAAGGGAAUGCUUCCAGUUUUUGCCCAUUCAGUAUGAUAUUGGCUGUGGGUUUCUCAUAGAUAGCUCUUACUAUUUUGAGAUAUGGCCCAUCAGUACCCAAUUUAUUGAGAGUUUUUAGCAUGAAGAGUUGUUGAAUUUUGUCAAAGGCCUUUUCUGCAUCUAUUGAGAUAAUCAUGUGGUUUUUGUCUUUGGUUCUGUUUGUAUGCUGGAUUACAUUUAUUGAUUUGUGUAUAUUGAACCAGCCUUGCAUCCCAGGGAUGUAGCCCACUUGAUCAUGGUGGAUAAGCUUUUUGAUGUGCUGCUGGAUUCGGUUUGCCAGUAUUUUAUUGAGGAUUUUUGCAUCAAUAUUCAUCAAGGGUAUUGGUCUAAAAUUCUCUUUUUUGGUUGUGUCUCUGCCAGGCUUUGGUAUCAGGAUGAUGCUGGCCUCAUAAAAUGAGUUAGGGAGGAUUCCCUCUUUUUCUAUUGAUUGGAAUAGUUUCAGAAGGAAUGGUACCAUUUCCUCCUUGUACCUCUGGUAGAAUUCGGCUGUGAAUCCAUCUGGUCCUGGACUCUUUUUGGUUGGUAAGCUAUUGAUUAUUGCCACAAUUUCAGAUCCUGUUAUUGGUCUAUUCAGAGAUUCAACUUCUUCCUGGUUUAGUCUUGGGAGAGUGUAUGUGUCGAGGAAUUUAUCCAUUUCUUCUAGAUUUUCUAGUUUAUUUGUGUAGAGGUGUUUGUAGUAUUCUCUGAUGGUAGUUUGUGUUUCUGUGGGAUCGGUGGUGAUAUCCCCUUUAUCAUUUUUUUAUUGCAUCUAUUUGAUUCUUCUCUCUUUUCUUCUUUAUUAGUCUUGCUAGUUGUCUAUCAAUUUUGUUGAUCCUUUCAAAAAACCAGCUCCUGGAUUCAUUAAUUUUUUGAAGGGUUUUUUAUGUCUCUAUUUCCUUCAGUUCUGCUCUGAUUUUAGUUAUUUAUUGCCUUCUGCUAGCUUUUGAAUGUUUGCUCUUGCUUUCCUAGUUCUUUUAAUUGUGAUGUUAGGGUGUCAAUUUUGGAUCUUUCCUGCUUUCUCUUGUGGGCAUCUAGUGCUAUAAAUUUCCCUCUACACACUGCUUUGAAUGUGUCCGAGAGAUUCUGGUAUGUUGUGUCUGUGUUCUCAUUGGUUUCAAAGAACAUCUUUAUUUCUGCCUUCAUUUCGUUAUGUACCCAGUAGUCAUUCAGGAGCAGGUUGUUUAUUUUCCAUGUAGUUGAGUGGUUUUGAGUGAGUUUCUUAAUCCUGAGUUCUAAUUUGGUUGCACUGUGGUCUGAGAGAGUUUGGUAUAAUUUCUGUUCUGUUACAUUUGCUGAGGAGAGCUUUACUUCCAACUAUGUGGUCAAUUUUGGAAUAGGUGUAGUGUGGUGCUGUAAAAAAUGUAUAUUCUGUUGAUUUGGGGUGGAGAGUUCUGUAGAUGUCUAUUAGGUCCGGUUGGUGCAGAGCUGAGUUCAAUUCCUGGGUAUCCUUCUUAACUUUCUGUCUCGUUGAUCUGUCUAAUGUUGACAGUGGGUUGUUAAAGCCUCCUAUUAUUAUUGUGUGGAAGUCAAGUCUCUUUGUAGGUCACUCAGGACUUGCUUUAUGAAUCUGGGUGCUCCUGUAUUGGGUGCAUAUAUAUUUAGGAUAGUUAGCUCUUCUUGUUGAAUUGAUCCCUUUACCAUUAAGUAAUGGCCUUCUUUGUCUCUUUUGAUCUUUGUUGGUUUAAAGUCUGUUUUAUCAGAGACUAGGAUUGCAACCCCUGCCUUUUUUUGUUUUCCAUUUGCUUGGUAGAUCUUCCUCCAUCCUUUUAUUUUGAGCCUAUGUGUGUCUCUGCCUGUGAGAUGGGUUUCCUGAAUACAGCACACUGAUGGGUCUUGAUUCUUUAUCCAAUUUGCCAGUCUGUGUCUUUUAAUUGGCGCAUUUAGUCCAUUUACAUUUAAAGUUAAUAUUGUUAUGUGUGAAUUUGAUCCUGUCAUUAUGAUGUUAGCUGGCUAUUUUGCUCGUUAGUUGAUGCAGUUUCUUCCUAGCCUCGAUGGUCUUUACAAUUUGGUAUGAUUUUGCAGUGGCUGGUACCGUUUGUUCCUUUCCAUGUUUAGUGCUUCCUUCAGGAGCUCUUUUAGGGCAGGCCUGCUGGUGACAAAAUCUCUCAGCAUUUGCUUAUCUGUAAAGUAUUUUAUUUCUCCUUCACUUAUGAAGCUUAGUUUGGCUAGAUAUGAAAUUCUCGGUUGAAAAUUCUUUUCUUUAAGAAUGUUGAAUAUUGGCCCCCACUCUCUUCUGGCUUGUAGAGUUUCUUCCGAGAGAUCUGCUGUUAGUCUGAUGGGCUUCCCUUUGUGGCUAACCCGACCUUUCUCUCUGGCUGCCCUUAUCAUUUUUUCCUUCAUUUCAACUUUGGUGAAUCUGACAAUUAUGUGUUUUGGAGUUGCUCUUCUCGAGGAGUGUUUUUGUGGCAUUCUCUGUAUUUCCUGAAUCUGAAUGUUGGCCUGCCUUGCUAGAUUGGGGAAGUUCUCCUGGAUAAUAUCCUGCAGAGUGUUUUCCAACUUGGUUCCAUUCUCCCCAUCACUUUCAAGUACACCAAUCAGACGUAGAUUUGGUCUUUUCACAUAGUCCCAUAUUUCUUGGAGGCUUUGUUCAUUUCUUUUUAUUCUUUUUUUCUCUAAACUUCCCUUCUCACUUCAUUUCAUUCAUUUCAUCUUCCAUCACUGAUACCCUUUCUUCCAGUUGAUUGCAUCAGCUCCUGAGGCUUCUGCAUUCUUCACGUAGUUCUCAAGCCUUGGCUUUCAGCUCCGUCAGCUCCUUUAAGCACUUCUCUAUAUUGGUUAUUCUAAUUAUACAUUCAUCUAAAUUUUUUUCAAAGUUUUUAACUUGUUUGCCUUUGGUUUGAAUUUCCUCCUGUAGCUUGGAGUAGUUUGAUCAUCUGAAGCCUUCUUCUCUCAACUCAUCAAAGUCAUUCACCAUCCAGCUUUGUUCUAUUGCCGGUGAGGAGCUGUGCUCCUUUGGAGGAGGAGAGGCACUCUGCGUUUUAGAGUUUCCAGUUUUUCUGCUCUGUUUUUUCCCCAUCUUUGUGGUUUUAUCUACUUUUGGUCUUUGAUGAUGGUGAUGUACAGAUUGGUUUUUGGUGUGGAUGUCCUUUCUGUUUGUUAGUUUUCCUUCUAACAGACAGGACCCUCAGCUGCAUGUCUGUUGGAGUUUGCGGAGGUCCACUCCAGACCCUGUUUGCCUGGGUAUCAGCAGCGGUGGCUGCAGAACUGCGGAUUUUAGUGAACCGCGAAUGCUGCUGUCUGAUUGUUCCUCUGGAAGUUUUGUCUCAGAGGACUACCUGGCUGUGUGAGG